GCUUGUGGCACCACCACGAUGGAACUGAAAAUUGUCCGAUUAAGCAUAUGGACUUGGUUAUACUCGACUCUCAGAACCAUCGAAUUCAAGUCAUCUUUGAGUACACGACAGCUUCUGAAGUUCGUGCCAUCAUGCUAUAGUUUCCCACAUGGGCUGAGAUGAUGCAAAUAAAAAGACGGUCUCAGGCACAAGAGCAUGAUGUGGUUGCACCAUUUGCUUUUACACCAAGGCCACGCGGUUGAUCAUCUAAGUGCACCUAUGAAGUUGACCGACAAGGCAGUUGGACGGAGCUACUAAUUAGUAUGCCUAAUGGCUAUGGCUUUGUAGUUUGACCGCCUCUAUCGUCACUAUGCCUGGCUUUUGCUUUCUUAUUAUGUUCCUGCUAUUAGUACUUCCUCUCUCGUGUUUGUGCUCUUAGUAUUGAACUUAAUGUCGUAGUUAUUAGCUUUUGUGGUCUAAUGAACUCACCGAGUGUCUAUAAUCUCAUGAGGAUGUUGAACUUGAUAAUAUCUUGCUUUGUUGUCUU